CAGUCGCCGCGGUAAUACGUAGGGUGCGAACGUUAAUCAGAAUUACUGGGCGUAAAGCGUGCGCAGGCGGUUGUGUAAGACAGGUGUGAAAUCCCCGGGCUUAACCUGGGAACUGCGCUUGUGACUGCACAGCUAGAGUAUGGCAGAGGGGGGUGGAAUUCCACGUGUAGCAGUGAAAUGCGUAGAGAUGUGGAGGAACACCGAUGGCGAAGGCAGCCCCCUGGGCCAAUACUGACGCUCAUGCACGAAAGCGUGGGGAGCAAACAGGAUUAGAUACCCCUGUAGUCCCUGUCUCUUAUAC
rnacentral:rRNA from 1 species